rnacentral:rRNA from 1 species
UGGGGAAUAUUGGACAAUGGGCGCAAGCCUGAUCCAGCCAUGCCGCGUGAGUGACGAAGGUCUUCGGAUUGUAAAGCUCUUUUGGCGGGGACGAUAAUGACGGUACCCGCAGAAUAAGCCCCGGCUAACUUCGUGCCAGCAGCCGCGGUAAUACGAAGGGGGCUAGCGUUGUUCGGAAUUACUGGGCGUAAAGCGCACGUAGGCGGACUGAUAAGUCAGGGGUGAAAUCCCGGGGCUCAACCUCGGAACUGCCUUUGAUACUGUUAGUCUCGAGUCCGGAAGAGGUGAGUGGAAUUCCUAGUGUAGAGGUGAAAUUCGUAGAUAUUAGGAAGAACACCAGUGGCGAAGGCGGCUCACUGGUCCGGUACUGACGCUGAGGUGCGAAAGCGUGGGGAGCAAACAGGAUUAGAUACCCGCGUAGUCCCUGAGCGGGCUGGCAAGGCGCAU